rnacentral:rRNA from 1 species
GGGGGUGCACUCCGCAUGGACGAAGUCUGACGGAGCAACGCCGCGUGAGUGAUGAAGGUUUUCGGAUCGUAAAGCUCUGUUGUUAGGGAAGAACAAGUGCAAGAGUAACUGCUUGCACCUUGACGGUACCUAACCAGAAAGCCACGGCUAACUACGUGCCAGCAGCCGCGGUAAUACGUAGGUGGCAAGCGUUGUCCGGAAUUAUUGGGCGUAAAGGGCUCGCAGGCGGUUUCUUAAUCUGAUGUGAAAGCCCCCGGCUCAACCGGGGAGGGUCAUUGGAAACUGGGAAACUUGAGUGCAGAAGAGGAGAGUGGAAUUCCACGUGUAGCGGUGAAAUGCGUAGAGAUGUGGAGGAACACCAGUGGCGAAGGCGACUCUCUGGUCUGUAACUGACGCUGAGGAGCGAAAGCGUGGGGAGCGAACAGGAUUAGAUACCCUGGUAGUCCACGCCGUAAACGAUGAGUGCUAAGUGUUAGGGGGUUUCCGCCCCUUAGUGCUGCAGCUAACGCAUUAAGCACUCCGCCUGGGGAGUACGGUCGCAAGACUGAAACUCAAAGGAAUUGACGGGGGCCCGCACAAGCGGUGGAGCAUGUGGUUUAAUUCGAAGCAACGCGAAGAACCUUACCAGGUCUUGACAUCCUCUGACAACCCUAGAGAUAGGGCUUUCCCUUCGGGGACAGAGUGACAGGUGGUGCAUGGUUGUCGUCAGCUCGUGUCGUGAGAUGUUGGGUUAAGUCCCGCAACGAGCGCAACCCUUGAUCUUAGUUGCCAGCAUUCAGUUGGGCACUCUAAGGUGACUGCCGGUGACAAACCGGAGGAAGGUGGGGAUGACGUCAAAUCAUCAUGCCCCUUAUGACCUGGGCUACACACGUGCUACAAUGGACAGAACAAAGGGCUGCGAGACCGCAAGGUUUAGCCAAUCCCACAAAUCUGGUCU